UGCCGUGAGGAAGAGGCAGGCGGAGGGGCGGGGCCCGGAUGAGGUUCCGCUCCUCCCCUCGCGCGGAGCCGUGAGGGGACGCGGCAGGGUGGGCGCGGAUCGGGAAACGGGAGGGAAAGGGGGAAAGAGGGACCGGGACGGGGGUGGCGGAGUCCGUAGUGGAGAGUACGGCAAAAAAUAAGUCGGAACGGAAAAGACGAUUCAAAUGGGAUGCGCAGAGAUGCUGUAAAAACGCGUCCGGCACGAGCACCCGUGACCCCCCUCACAGUGCGCGGGCGGGAGAAGAAGACAAGCGGUGCUGCAAAAACGCGCACGGAGGUUUUAGAGGAAUUGCUGAACUCUACGCAAUAGUCCGGCCUGCUGGAAUAAAAGGAGCAAUGGGAAGCUCUCAGAAAUGCGGGCAGAGUUGCUGCCGGCUUUCCAGCCCCUUGCCAGCACAUGGAGCUGCCUGUCGUGAUCUGGGUACACAGAAUCCAUCUACCAGAAUAGCCCGGCUCCUGGCGCGCAGGCUAAGCAGGAAGGAGCCCGGCACCUUUCCUGUCCACACCACCCUAUUCGCGCUGCUAGCUCUGCAUCCUUAUCUCAGAUGGCUCCUGCACAGCUGCUGCCUGAAACUGGCUGGUUUUAACACGAGCAAGUAGUUUUAAAAUAGGCGUAUUUUAAGCUGUGCUGUGAUCACACGUUGGUACAUCUUCAGGCCAGAAGUGCCGAAGCCUGUAAUCAGCCCUCCUGCGGGAUAGCACUUAGGCACACAAGUGGUCCCGUAGGUUUUUAUAGAGCUGUUUGGGUAAGAGUUAUUCAGCAUAUAGGAGAGAUGCAGAAUAUUUGUCCUGUGUGUUUAUUCCUUGGCAAAAGAUGUCAGCCAGUUUCCCUUUAAGAGGAUAAUAGCAGUUCAGAUCAAAACAAGGAUUAUGCUUUACUGGUUUUGGAGCAUUGAGGUAAAGCCACAUAUACAUUACACCUGAUUUUGUAUUAAAUCUGUAUCUUGUUGCCUCAGAUGCACAACUGUAAUGCGGCUCUUGAACAUUGCUGAAACACAGAUCACAUCUUACUGCCAUUUAGUCCAGGCACAAGGAAUAAGAGAAAAUACAAGACAGUGAAGAAAGCAGCACUGUGAUUGUAAUUUAAGAGAGUUUUAUAUCUGUUUGGAAAAAGUCUGAUUCCGUGAAUUACAAGGUGGAAGGGAAUUUGGUGCACAGAUUACGAAGGUAAAAAAGAAAUUGCUGCAACGUUUUCCACUUGCUGCUUGAACUGUUGAAAUUCUGCUGCGUAUGGGUGAGACAGUGCAGUUUUUACUGUAAACCCAUUGAAACUUAUGGCAGUUUUGCUGUUAACUGGAAGUAGGUUUGACGUUGCUUUCUGUUACGAAACAGCAUGAAACCAUAUAUGCAUAGGUCUGCAUUGUCCACACAGGAAAGAAAGUUCCCUUUGCCUGACCACAUGCACAUAGGGCACUUAGUGAAAAAGAUGCAAAGAGGUAUAGAUAAGGCACUGUUGUUCUCUUCUGCAGCCACAGCAAUCCAGCAGGACCUCAGAUCUUCAGAACACCUAUAUUUCUUUGUAUACGUGUCUAAAUGUAUCUUAAACUGGUUUGUACAUGCGCUGUGGAAUCAGUCACACGUCCAGAAAGGAAGAUGAAUGUGCUGGGUAUAUAAAUGCACCUUGGUGAAAGUGGUAGAUGCUUGUAUGAAAGCCCAGGAUUCAGGUGUGGAUUUACUGAGGCUCUGAAGGUCUGAAGCUUCUCCUGCUCUUCCCCACCACGCUAUGAGCACACACUGUUUGCCUCUGGAAACACACAGGAGUCCAAAGAAGCACAGCACUGCACAGGGCAAUGCUUCAGGAGGGUGUAUGGCCUGUGCUGAGCACCCCACUGGCCAUUGGUGACAAUGAGCAAUGACCAAACACUCCUCAGAGCUCUGACUGCUGGACUGAAGCUACCUCAGCCUCCACUGCACUCCCUGGGACCCAAACCCAGAACCUCUAGCCGCUCCUGGGGUAAAAAACAUCAGACUCAAUGUGAUUGCUCUCUCUGCUGUUCAAUGUGGGCAGAAGUAUUUUGAAGAUAGUUGGUUUAAGGUCAUCGAGCACAAUUUCACAUUGAUAUUGUUACUUUCCAGGGCCCUGUCCUUCUAGCCUUCCCUGCUUAGAAAGGCUGCUUUGGGAAGAGAGGAGCCACUGGAGCCAGCUGGACUAUGCAUGAAUUCUCUGCCUGAGCCACGUCCAAGGUGUUGGACUCCCUGCAGUUACAGCACAGAGACCUGAUACCAAGGACACAACUUCCUGCCUCACUGACAGUGCCUGCAUUGUGACACUGGCAACUCUUCAGCUCUUCUUCAUUGUUGCUGGUCUCUUGGUAUCUACAGGAGACUAGUCUAGAUGACCUACACACAGUGAGAGAGUUUUUUCUAAUGUGAAGACCUGACAGUCAACACAGAGAAAACAGACAGAGGUAGGAGAAAGUAGUUACAAAUAAAUCUUCCCUAUGAAAGGGGAAGUAGAAAACCAGAAAAAUCCCUGGAUCUCUUUACUAGAGGAAUGGGAUACCUGUAGUAACUUGUAGUAACUUGGAUACCUCAAGUCCAGUUCAGGGCUUUCACCACAAAAUGGUCCUUCUUCUGUUCUCUGGGACCAGUGUAACACAGGGAUGGACUUUCACUUUUGCCUCCCAUUUGGAUGUGCUAAGGAUGGUGAAAGGUAGACCUAUAUCAGACAACUGCCAUGACAGUAUUAGGAAAGGGCAUUUCACCACUCACUCACAUGGGAAAGUCUAAGUCAUGCCAGGUCACUCUGUCACCUCUCUGUUUUUGAAUUAAAUAAUGAAGGUUGUUGAAGUGUUAUAUAUGCUGUCAGUUAUGCCAGGGGGGUGAGAAGAUUAGUAAAAGUAUAUUCCCUUUGUAUAAAAAGAUAGGUGUAAUAUUCAGAAGUGCAAUGGUUAGACUUAAAGCUUUAACUUCUAAUAAACAUGUCUGGAGUUUGAAGGCGCCCCUGAUCUAUGGCUACAAGGUAUUGUAAUUAGCAUCCAAAGUCCUGUGAACUCAGGAAGUCCCUCAAGAGAGGUAACCCCUGAUUGCUGAGCAGUAGUACUGCUCAGUUCUGAAACAUUAUCAUAAACUACCCAAUAACUGUGAAUGAACAAAGGCUGACACAAACAGCUACAAAAGGUAGCUUUUGUUGAGACUCAAGGAGCCAAGACUGGUGCCAAAAGUGGCUGGAGCAGGACCUUGUUAUGACCUUGUGUGAAGCAGCACAGGUCUAGCACCCAAGGGGAAAGACUUGGUGCUGGGGUAGAUUGGCCCUACUCUGUGGGUCAGUGAUGGGGGAACAGGUUGUCUCUGGUGAGGAGAAAAAAACCCCAGGAGGUGGCAGGUUCUUGGUCCACCCCUGCUUAUUCCUCUAUGACUGGCCAAACAAUACUCUUAAAAUCUUCCUUGACAUCAAGCAGAAAAUCCUUAUCCUAGGACUCAUUCUUGUGUUUACAGCCUUGCCUUUGCUUUCCAAAUUCAGACGUGCUUUACA